UACGUAGGGGGCAAGCGUUGUCCGGAAUCAUUGGGCGUAAAGCGCGUGUAGGCGGCUCAGUAAGUCUGCUGUGAAAGUCCAGGGCUCAACCCUGGGAUGCCGGUGGAUACUGUCGAGCUCGAGUCCGGAAGAGGCGAGUGGAAUUCCUGGUGUAGCGGUGAAAUGCGCAGAUAUCAGGAGGAACACCAAUGGCGAAGGCAGCUCGCUGGGACGUGACUGACGCUGAGACGCGAAAGCGUGGGGAGCAAACAGG
rnacentral:rRNA from 1 species